CCUACGGGAGGCAGCAGUGGGGAAUAUUGGACAAUGGGGGCAACCCUGAUCCAGCCAUGCCGCGUGUGUGAAGAAGGCCCUCGGGUUGUAAAGCACUUUCAGUGAGGAAGAACGCCUGGUGGUUAAUACCCAUCAGGAAAGACAUCACUCACAGAAGAAGCACCGGCUAACUCCGUGCCAGCAGCCGCGGUAAUACGGAGGGUGCGAGCGUUAAUCGGAAUUACUGGGCGUAAAGCGCGCGUAGGUGGCUUGAUAAGCCGGUUGUGAAAGCCCCGGGCUCAACCUGGGAACGGCAUCCGGAACUGUCAAGCUAGAGUGCAGGAGAGGAAGGUAGAAUUCCCGGUGUAGCGGUGAAAUGCGUAGAGAUCGGGAGGAAUACCAGUGGCGAAGGCGGCCUUCUGGACUGACACUGACACUGAGGUGCGAAAGCGUGGGUAGCAAACAGGAUUAGAUACCCCUGUAGUC
rnacentral:rRNA from 1 species